AUCUCCACGCUAACCGUCUAUUCUUUCCUCGCUUGGAUCUUUCCAUACAUAUUUCAGGUCGUCGCUUAAGGGUGUUCUAGCUCCCCUUCUCUUCCUCUUCCUCUUCCUUCCAACUCCUCACUCCUCCACUCACAUCUUAUCCUCUCUGCAGGCAAAACAGGACGGUAAUUGUUACCUCAAACGACCAUUUCAGACCGCCGCUCCUCUCACAUGACUGCUUCCCCCUCCUUCUCCCCUUCCUUUCCUCCUCCCUCCUAUCUCCCACCACUCCCUCCCAUUAGUCACUAGUGCGUAGUUCAGUCAGGGUUGCCGGUCACGGUAUUAUUUCAUGAGGAGCACAUUGGGAUCCUUUCUUGCCCAUAGGCACCUCUUUUUGUCCAGUCCUUGUCACCACACACACACACACACACACACCGCGUAGUGUAGUGGUUAGCAAGCUCGACUCACAAUCGAGAGGGCCGGGUUCGAAUCCCGGCGCGGCGAGGUAAACGGGCAAGCCUCUUACGGCCGUAUGCUCGUCUCUCAACAUCAUCCUUAAGUAAAUACUUGGAUUUCCCAAGGCUAAACGCAUUGGUUAGGUGGAGAUGUGGCACCAGCGCCCAUGUUCCAACGCUUUCAGCUGAGCCCAGGGAGAAGUGGAGCGAAUAGAUCACCAAGUCAACUGUUAUCACAUCUGUAUUUCGUACAUAAGACCUCACCAUGGAUGAAUUUACUGAUAUCCAUGACCUGGAGGAAUUAGAGGCUGUGGAAGAGCUGGGGCCUCACAGAUGGCUACUGCAAGAAAUCUCUUCCCUUCGACAUUGAUGAGCCAGAAAAUGUUCAACACCAUCAUGAUACUGCCCCACCAGUACCAGCUUCAGGUUUUAAUGUAGCCCAUGUCAUUGAGAAUCAUUUCUCAUUUCUGAUGUGUGUGUGUGUGUGUGUGUGUGUGUGUGUGUGUGUGUGUGUGUGUGUGUGUGUGUGUGUCUUCAGUUAGUUG